rnacentral:rRNA from 1 species
ACUCCUACGGGAGGCAGCAGUGGGGAAUUUUGGACAAUGGGGGCAACCCUGAUCCAGCCAUUCCGCGUGAGUGAAGAAGGCCUUCGGGUUGUAAAGCUCUUUCAGCUGGAGCGAAACGGUACGCUCUAACAUAGCGUGCUAAUGACGGUACCAGCAGAAGAAGCACCGGCUAACUACGUGCCAGCAGCCGCGGUAAUACGUAGGGUGCGAGCGUUAAUCGGAAUUACUGGGCGUAAAGCGUGCGCAGGCGGAUUGUUAAGCAAGACGUGAAAUCCCCGGGCUUAACCUGGGAAUGGCGUUUUGAACUGGCAGUCUAGAGUGCGUCAGAGGGGGGUGGAAUUCCACGUGUAGCAGUGAAAUGCGUAGAGAUGUGGAGGAACACCGAUGGCGAAGGCAGCCCCCUGGGAUGACACUGACGCUCAUGUACGAAAGCGUGGGGAGCAAACAGGAUUAGAUACCCUGGUAGUC